rnacentral:rRNA from 1 species
UACGUAGGGUCCGAGCGUUGUCCGGAAUUAUUGGGCGUAAAGGGCUCGUAGGCGGUUCGUCACGUCGGGAGUGAAAACUCGGGCUAAGCCCUGAACCGCCUGCUUCCGAUACGGGCAGACUAGAGGUAGGCAGGGGAGAGCGGAACUCCUGGUGUAGCGGUGGAAUGCGCAGAUAUCAGGAAGAACACCGGUGGCGAAGGCGGCUCUCUGGGCCUUACCUGACGCUGAGGAGCGAAAGCGUGGGUAGCGAACAGG